rnacentral:rRNA from 1 species
UACGGGGGGAGCAAGCGUUGUCCGGAUUUAUUGGGUUUAAAGGGUGCGUAGGCGGUCCUAUAAGUCAGUUGUGAAAUACGGCAGCUUAACUGUCGAGGUGCAAUUGAUACUGCAAGACUUGAGUACAGACGAGGUAGGCGGAAUUGACGGUGUAGCGGUGAAAUGCUUAGAUAUCGUCAAGAACACCGAUAGCGAAGGCAGCUUACUAGACUGUAACUGACGCUGAGGCACGAAAGUGUGGGGAUCAAACAGG